rnacentral:sRNA from 1 species
GUUUUGCUUCUUUUUGAAAUUUUGACUUAUCUGAAAUAACUGUGGGU